AAAUUGAAGAGUUUGAUCAUGGCUCAGAUUGAACGCUGGCGGCAGGCCUAACACAUGCAAGUCGAACGGUAACAGGAAGCAGCUUGCUGCUUUGCUGACGAGUGGCGGACGGGUGAGUAAUGUCUGGGAAACUGCCUGAUGGAGGGGGAUAACUACUGGAAACGGUGGCUAAUACCGCAUAAUGUCGCAAGACCAAAGAGGGGGACCUU
rnacentral:rRNA from 5 species